GACGAACGCUGGCGGCGUGCUUAACACAUGCAAGUCGAACGGAAAGGCCCUGCGUUUGUGGGGUGCUCGAGUGGCGAACGGGUGAGUAACACGUGAGUAACCUGCCCUUGACUGUGGGAUAACUUCAGGAAACUGGGGAUAUAACCGCGUAGGAGAUCCUGCUGCAUGGGGGGGGUUGGAAAGUUUCGGCGGUUGGGGCUGGUCUCGCGGCUUAUCAGCUGGUUGGUGGGGUAGUGGCUUACCAAGGCUUUGACGGGUAGCCGGCCUGGGAGGGUGACCGGCCACAUUGGGACUGAGAUACGGCCCAGACUCCUACGGGAGGCAGCAGUGGGGAAUAUUGCACAAUGGGCGGAAGCCUGAUGCAGCAACGCCGCGUGCGGGAUGACGGCCUUCGGGUUGUAAACCGCUUUCGCCUGUGACGAAGCGUGAGUGACGGUAAUGGGUAAAGAAGCACCGGCUAACUACGUG
rnacentral:rRNA from 1 species